rnacentral:rRNA from 1 species
ACGUAGGGAGCGAGCGUUGUCCGGAAUUACUGGGCGUAAAGGGCGUGUAGGCGGGAAUUUAAGUAAGGUGUGAAAACUCCGGGCUUAACCUGGAGACUGCACUUUAAACUGGAUUUCUUGAGGGCAGGAGAGGAAAGUGGAAUUCCUAGUGUAGCGGUGAAAUGCGUAGAUAUUAGGAGGAACACCAGUGGCGAAGGCGACUUUCUGGACUGUACCUGACGCUGAGGCGCGAAAGCGUGGGGAGCGAACAG